CGCGGGGUGGAGCAGCGGUAGCUCAUUGGGCUCAUAACCCAAAGGUCGCUGGUUCGAAUCCAGCCCCCGCUA
rfam:Candidate division WOR-3 bacterium 4484_100 ex4484_100_scaffold_2769, whole genome shotgun sequence.